UACGGAGGGUGCGAGCGUUGUCCGGAAUCAUUGGGCGUAAAGGGCGCGUAGGCGGCGGGGUAAGUCGGGUGUGAAAUCUCAGAGCUCAACUCUGAAACUGCACUCGAUACUGCUCUGCUUGAGGACUGGAGAGGAGACUGGAAUUCACGGUGUAGCAGUGAAAUGCGUAGAUAUCGUGAGGAAGACCAGUGGCGAAGGCGGGUCUCUGGACAGUUCCUGACGCUGAGGCGCGAAGGCCAGGGGAGCAAACGGG
rnacentral:rRNA from 1 species